ACGAACGCUGGCGGCGUGCUUCACCCAUGCAAGUCGCACGCUGAAGCUCAGCUUUUGUUGGGUGGAUGAGUGGCGAACGGGUGAGUAACACGUGAGUAACCUGCCUCCUUCUUUGGGAUAACGCCCGGAAACGGGUGCUAAUACUGGAUAUUCACUGGUCUUCGCAUGGGGGUUGGUGGAAAGGGUUUUUCUGGUGGGGGAUGGGCUCGCGGCCUAUCAGCUUGUUGGUGGGGUGAUGGCCUACCAAGGCUUUGACGGGUAGCCGGCCUGAGAGGGUGACCGGUCACAUUGGGACUGAGAUACGGCCCAGACUCCGACGGGAGGCAGCAGUGGGGAAUAUUGCACAAUGGGCGCAAGCCUGAUGCAGCGACGCCGCGUGAGGGAUGGAGGCCUUCGGGUUGUGAACCUCUUUCGCUCAUGGUCAAGCCGCAACAAUGGUUGUGGUGAGGGUAGUGGGUAAAGAAGCGCCGGCUAACUACGUG
rnacentral:rRNA from 1 species